CAUCAUUCACUCUACUUACUCUUAAAUAUAGCAAAACCCUAAUCUAAGCUACUUUACAUUUUCUAUACAAUUUGCAGUUUGAAUUGUGAAUUUAUGAAAUUAAAGUUAGUUCUAUUGUUGCGAUUACCCUGAGUUUUGAGCAUUGACGAUUUUGAACAAUUUGGUGGUUGAAUAAAUUUUAAUUAUUGAUUUUUUUUCUAAUUUAGAUCCCUUGAUGUUUGAUGCACUCAUUAUUUGUUCGUAUUGAUGUAAUGCAUUGAUCAUUGAAUGUGUAUGAAUGUAUUUGCUAUCAUCCAUUCAAGGUUCGGGUUGUGAUUGAUAAAAGUAAUUUAGCUUGGCUAUGAUAAUUCUGUAAUUUAGCUUGGCUAUGAUGAUUAAGUAAUUUAGCUUGGCUAUGAUAAUUCAGUAAUUUAGCUUGGCUAUGAUGAUUCAGUAAAAUAAGCUUGGUUCCGUGCGCGUCUCACCUGCCAUCGCUUUAAGUUCGAGAAAUUUCUCGCAAUUCAGAUAAGAAUCGCCACUUUUCUGAAAGCACAAGCAAGAAGGCAUCGCCUGCGGCUUCCAAGACAAGCAAAAGCCCGGUUCUCCGGGCACUACGGUAGGACGUGGAUCGAUCAUGACGAGAAUGGACUUUUCCGCCGGGAAGGAUGCACCUCUGGUGUACCAGUUAUCGUGCCCACGGUAAACGCUGGGUAGCCAAGUGCGCAGAAUUGUCUCCACCUCCCGCCAACAGUCUUUCUUCGGAAUUUUACUGAACGGGUCGAUCCUCUCCUCCCGUUUGUUUUAUUUUAGCAACCUAUCCUAAGGUCUCUUGUGCUUGAUGGAUUUCUUUUUUUAGUCAUUCAGUCAUUGUAUACCAUGUGUUUAAAAUGUAGUAUGGUGUAUGUAUUUAUCCUCACCCAACUCAAUUGGGGCAGGUCACAAUACGAAAGAAAGUAGACGUGGAUAUGGUUGAGGGAAGAUCGAUGAAUGGAAAGAAGAAGGGAAUUUCGGAAUCAAAGAGGAAGAUGGGUAGCUUAAGUGAGGUUUUGGGGAGGGAGAAGUCUAGGGGAAUUGUGGUGUCAAUUGGUGGUGAGUCAAAAAUUGAUGACAGGAAACGAGGAAAGAGUGGUGUAGUGGAGGAACUGGUUGGAGAGAAGUCAAACAGGGGUUGUAGAAAACAACAUAGGAGUGGGGUUUCAGAAGAAUCAGAGACGGAACUGACUUUGGCUGAGAUUAAAAUGGGGGCAUUGAAGAAGAAGUUGAAAGGGAAGAAGAAAGUUAAUAUUAGGGAGGAGAGAGCGGUGUUGGAAGAGAAGAAGAAGAGGCAGCUAAUGUUAAUUGAGAAUCGGGAUAUGGAAGUAAUGACUGUUGAGGAUUCAGACUUUUAUGAUUUUGAUGAGGAUAGAGUUGAAAGGAGCUUCAAGAAGGGCCAAGUUUGGGCAAUAUAUGAUGAUGAUGAUGGGAUGCCUAGGCACUAUGGGGUGAUAGAUGAGGUUGUCUCAUUGAAUCCAUUUGAGGUGAAAAUGAGCUGGUUGGACUUCCAGAAUAAUGGAGAUGAGAGGCUGACAUCUUGGGAGAAAAUGGGAUUUCAUAUAUCUUGUGGAGUCUUUGUGGUGGCUAGGGAGGAUACUACAAAUUUAUUGAAUAUCUUCUCAUAUUUAGUUAAAUGUGAAAGAGCAGCCAAAAAGCUGUACAGGAUAUACCCUACAAAGGGUUCAAUUUGGGCUCUUUAUAAUGAAAGGGCAUUGGAUGUAGGGGGCAAGGAAUCUUUUAGUAAGGAUAAGCGAUGUUAUGACAUUGUUGUGUUUUUAACAAGUUACAGUGAAGUGCAUGGAUUAAGUAUGGCAUACCUUGAAAAGGUUAAUGGUUUUAGAGCAGUUUUUAAGAGGCGAGAGAUUGGGUGUCAUGCUAUUAGAUGGCUUGACAAAGGUGACUUCAGGCUCUUCUCACAUCAGAUUCCUGCUAGAAAGCUUUCUGAAGAGGAGGCUCCUAAUAUUUCUGGCUGUUGUUGGGAGCUUGAUCCUGCUUCACUCCCACCGGAUUUACUCACAAUUUGUCAGAGAAAAUGAAGUUAUUUUGUGAUCUAAUGCAAUGCCAUUCUUGUGUGAAUGGUAGUAACUAGUAUUGGGUUGUAUUUGGCAGUUGUGGAACUUUUUCACCUUUUGAUACUCAAAUCUCAUUGGAAAUUAGAAUUUUAUCUUAAGUUGAUGUUCUUUGUUCAAGUGUUGAAUAGUUUAUGCUUAAUCUUGUCUGCUUUUUAGGCAAAGUUGGCGAUGGGCUAUUUAAAUUACCGAAUAAUGUCACAAUUUGUAAGCCACUGAAUGUUAAAAUAUAUUAUAAUCAGUAUUUGCUUUGGGAUGGAAGAAACUUUAUACUGUAUUUCAUUUGCUCGUGGUGGAUUUGGAAGAGGAUAUAGUUUUUCACAUGUAGAAGGACAGAAUUUGAAUGAAGGUUAGCAAGAAUGCAGGACAGAAUGAUCUUUGUUUCAGCUUGAAAUAUGAUGUUCAUGUGUUGUGCACAAUUUUGAGAAUAUUGAGGUACACACAUUGCUGAUUUUGGGGAAAUUAAUUAGUACACAUACUCUAUUUACUUUGGUAGAG